rnacentral:rRNA from 1 species
UACGUAGGGUGCGAGCGUUGUCCGGAAUUACUGGGCGUAAAGGGUGCGUAGGUGGUUUAUUAAGUUAUCUGUGAAAUCCCUGGGCUUAACCUGGGCAGGUCAGAUAAGACUGGUAGACUCGAGUAUGGGAGAGGGUAGUGGAAUUUCCGGUGUAGCGGUGAAAUGCGUAGGAGAUCGGAAGGAACACCAGUGGCGAAGGCGGCUACCUGGCCUAAUACUGACACUGAGGCACGAAAGCGUGGGGAGCAAACAGG